rnacentral:rRNA from 1 species
UACGUAGGGGGCAAGCGUUGUCCGGAAUUACUGGGCGUAAAGCGUGCGCAGGCGGCUAUGCAAGACAGAUGUGAAAUCCCCGGGCUCAACCUGGGAACUGCAUUUGUGACUGCAUGGCUAGAGUACGGUAGAGGGGGAUGGAAUUCCGCGUGUAGCAGUGAAAUGCGUAGAUAUGCGGAGGAACACCGAUGGCGAAGGCAAUCCCCUGGACCUGUACUGACGCCCAUGCACGAAAGCGUGGGGAGCAAACAGG